rnacentral:lncRNA from 1 species
CUCUGUGAGCAUAUUGUACUUUUGUUUGUACACCCACGGGAGCAAGACCUUUUCCUUUGCUCAAAAUAGAAGCCAUUUUGCUUGUUGAGUUGGAGAUUACCCUACAACGUCUUCAGUUAGAGGAUUAAUGUUGGGAGGAAAAAAGAAUGACAGCAGGCUAGUACAAUUGGAUUUGCUGGAUGAGAAGAGGAAAUGGGCAUAAAUCAUUCAUAGGGGCUUACACGAAGAAAGUGAAAGUUCGAGUAUUCAGCCUAGAAGAGUUUGGUAUGAAAAGUUAGAGACCCUAUUGGAACGCAUGGCACUAACUCGAAGUUUGCGAGAAACUAUGAAGGGCCUUUUGUCGUCACCGAGUUGUUUUCAAAUGGUGGAUACAAACUCUGAACCUUAGAUGGGCAACCCCUUCUGAGCAUUGUAAACGGUGAUUGGUUAAAGAAGUUCUAUCAAUAAAAAGAAUAUUCUCUUUUCGAGAUCUCUCGAGUGUUAUUGUGUUUUUUAAGUCUUUUUUCUU